rnacentral:rRNA from 1 species
CCUACGGGAGGCAGCAGUAGGGAAUUUUUCACAAUGGGCGAAAGCCUGAUGGAGCAACGCCGCGUGCAGGAUGCAGGCCUUCGGGUUGUAAACUGCUUUUAUAAGCGAGAAAUAUGAUGGUAACUUAUGAAUAAGGAUCGGCUAACUACGUGCCAGCAGCCGCGGUCAUACGUAGGAUCCGAGCAUUAUCCGGAGUGACUGGGUGUAAAGAGUUGCGUAGGUGGCAUAAUAAGUAGCUAGUGAAAUCUGGUGGCUCAACCAUUCAGACUAUUAGCUAAACUGUUAAGCUCGAGACCGUUAGGGGUAACUGGAAUUUCUAGUGUAGGAGUGAAAUCCGUAGAUAUUAGAAGGAACACCAAUAGCGUAGGCAGGUUGCUGGGACGGUUCUGACACUAAGGCACGAAAGCGUAGGGAGCAAACGGGAUUAGAUACCCUUGUAGUC